rnacentral:misc_RNA from 1 species
AAAAAUUCUCAUAAAUUAAUUUAGACUAUAUAUUAUUUUUAAUUUCUUACCCAGUAAACUAAUAAAUGAGUAGGUCAAUAACUUUAAUUUCCCAAACUUAGGUGGAUUAGACAUGUUAGGUUGAUAAACUAACUCUGUCACCUUUAUCUAUAUUUAUGUCUUUAAUAAUAUAUGAGAUUUGACUUCGUUAUAUAUAUCGAACAUCGAAUCGAAAAAAACUGGUUUAAGCUGAG